AAGACGGAAAGACCCCGUGAACCUUUACUAUAGCUUGACACUGAACAUUGAGCCUUGAUGUGUAGGAUAGGUGGGAGGCUUUGAAGUGUGGACGCCAGUCUGCAUGGAGCCGGCCUUGAAAUACCACCCUUUAAUGUUUGAUGUUCUAACGUGGACCCGUGAUCCGGGUUGCGGACAGUGUCUGGUGGGUAGUUUGACUGGGGCGGUCUCCUCCUAAAGAGUAACGGAGGAGCACGAAGGUUGGCUAAUCCUGGUCGGACAUCAGGAGGUUAGUGCAAUGGCAUAAGCCAGCUUGACUGCGAGCGUGACGGCGCGAGCAGGUGCGAAAGCAGGUCAUAGUGAUCCGGUGGUUCUGAAUGGAAGGGCCAUCGCUCAACGGAUAAAAGGUACUCCGGGGAUAACAGGCUGAUACCGCCCAAGAGUUCAUAUCGACGGCGGUGUUUGGCACCUCGAUGUCGGCUCAUCACAUCCUGGGGCUGAAGUAGGUCCCAAGGGUAUGGCUGUUCGCCAUUUAAAGUGGUACGCGAGCUGGGUUUAGAACGUCGUGAGACAGUUCGGUCCCUAUCUGCCGUGGGCGCUGGAGAACUGAGGGGGGCUGCUCCUAGUACGAGAGGACCGGAGUGGACGCAUCACUGGUGUUCGGGUUGUCAUGCCAAUGGCACUGCCCGGUAGCUAAAUGCGGAAGAGAUAAGUGCUGAAAGCAUCUAAGCACGAAACUUGCCCCGAGAUGAGUUCUCCCUGAGACUUAGAGUCUCCUGAAGGAACGUUGAAGACGACGACGUUGAUAGGCCGGGUGUGUAAGCGCAGCGAUGCGUUGAGCUAACCGGUACUAAUGAACCGUGAGGCUUAACCUUACA
rnacentral:rRNA from 1 species